rnacentral:rRNA from 1 species
AACGAACGCUGGCGGCGCGCCUAACACAUGCAAGUCGAACGAGAAUCCGGGGCAACCCGGUAGUAAAGUGGCAAACGGGUGAGGAAUACAUGGGUAACCUACCCUUGAGAAGGGAAUAACCCGCCGAAAGGUGAGCUAAUACCCUAUACGCUAUCUUUUUUCGAAAGGAUAGGAAAGACCGGGUCGGAGGACCUGGUACUCAAGGAGGGGCUCAUGUCCUAUCAGCUUGUUGGUGGGGUAACGGCCUACCAAGGCUACGACGGGUAGCUGGUCUGAGAGGAUGAUCAGCCACACUGGCACUGAGAUACGGGCCAGACUCCUACGGGAGGCAGCAGUGAGGAAUAUUGUGCAAUGGGCGAAAGCCUGACGCAGCGACGCCGCGUGGGGGA